GGAAAGGAAGGUCUACGGCCAUACCACCCUGAACGCGUCCGAUCUCAUCUGAUCUAAGAAAGGAACGUCUGACCAAGGUGCUUUGAUAGUUGGUGAGGACCUGAAACUACAGACUGUAGACCAAACAGAAGGGAGAAAAGACAUUCAGGAGAGAAGCAUGAAGUUGGUUACAAGGCGUUUGAAAAGUCUUUCCCCGCUGCCACCAAGAAUACGGAGGUAUCGGAAAAUACAGAACCGUCUGGGUCUUUGGGCCUUUUUCAGAUUCUUCUCCAUGGCUUGAAGUUAUUGUGAACUGAGACGAAGCAGUA